ensembl:lncRNA
UGGGCAGAAGAAUCUCGACUGAGGAAACGCCCUGCAAGUCUGGCCUGGAGGCAAGCCCAUUGGAGCAUUUUCUUAAUUAGAGACAGAUGGGGAGGGCCCAGAGACCCUUUCUUUCUCAAGUUCCUUUUUGGUCACAGUGCUUUCUCACAGCAAUAGAAACCCUAAGGCACCACGUUUGUGCCUCCUGGAGUUCUUAAGCGGUGUCUGGUAAAUAGUACGGAGCAAAUAUUUGCUUAAGUCAAUGGCAAAUAGUGAAAUUGAUUCUUUAAUGGCAGCGUGAACAAGGAAGAAAAUUAAAAUAUGACUAUCACAGCCCUCUCUGUAACCUCGGUUCAACUGAGGCUAUCUGAGAAACAUCGUCAAUAUUUUUGCCUGCAGACCUGCGGGCAGGAGGGGGAGGGGAAGGCCAGACAGGCCGGGCAUCGGCGAUGCCGUUUGCCCUUUAUCUCGCAUCCUGGAGCCCUGGCAGGAGUCAGAUCCUUUGCCGGAUCCCUGGUCCUGUUGGUGUUUGUUCGGUGCACUUUGAUCCUCCUGGAUGCACACACUGCCUGCUGCAAACCGGGACCAUUCUUGUCCAUGCUUCACAGUCCCCAGCCUCCGUCCUGAUGCUGACGUCUAUGCUAGCCUCUGCGGUGGUACGAUGCUCCUCUUCUCAGCUUUGCAGACCCAAGUGCCCAUCGCCCAGUGAGGCUUUCCUGUCGUGCAUACUGCUCCCAGUUCCUCAUUCCAGGCAGAAUGUAAAUCUCUAACCCUGCCCUGUCACAAGGCCACCAACAUACCACUGUCCUGUGACCUUCGUGCAGGUGCCACUUGUUUUAUAUUCCUGUUUCCAUGCCCUUGAAAAGAACGUUUCCAUUAAGUAAUCACUCCCUUCCUCUGUUCAAAAGCCUCUGGGGACUGCAAGUGUGCUUUCCGUCUCUAAGGGCUUGACUUAUUCUGGACGCUCCCUAUAACUGGGACCCUGCCGUCCGUGACUUUUGUGUCUAGAGUCUUUCCUACUUAGUGUGUUUUCAUUUUAACCGUGCUAGCAUUCACCAGUACUUCAUUUCAUUCUGCUGUUAAUAUUCCUCUGCGUGCACACAUCACAGGGUACUCCUCUGGUGCUGGGUAUUUGAUUGCUACUGCCUUUGCCCUUGUGAAUGGUGCUGCUGUGAAGUGUAGGUGUGUGCUGGUCAGAGUGCUUGCUUUUAAUUAACAUGGAUUUGUACUCAGGAGUGGAAUUGUUGGGUUAUGUAGUAAUUUUCAGGUUUAACUGCUUGAGACACCACCAAACUGUUUCCAUGCGGUUGAACACCGCUAUGUUACCAAGGGCUUCAGAAACCCUACACAUGUGGGAUUCGGUUUCUCCAUAUCCUCACCACACUCAGUAUGUUUAGGGUAUAAUCUUUCUGAUAUGCAUAACUAGAUGGUAUCUUUGAUUUUGCAUAUUUUUAGCGAAGGAAUAUAUUUAAAACAUUGUCUAUUUGGGGUGCUUUGUGCAAGCACUGGUGUGUACAGUCAUGGAUUCGCUUGUCUGUUGAACAAGCGUUCUUUGACCAUCUUCUCUAGAGAGGGUCCUGGGUUCUAUGCAGGAUGUAAGAUGAGGCAUUCACUGAAAGCUUUCUGCCAGCUUGAGGCAAUGAGAUGCUCCCCUCGGUGUGAAUUUGCAAUCGAUUCUGUCAUUAGCAGUUCUGCAGGGGGAUGAGGAAUGCUAAAGAAUGUGAGGACUUGGCCUCGCAUUAUUGAAGGAAGAUGGCAGACUUGGCUGGAAUCCAGGAGCCAAGGUCCUGAGAGUUCACGAAAUGCCAUUGUCAACUUCACAAUUUCGUCCAGAACGAGCUGUCAGCUCAACAAGAGAGGACUUGCUGGUGGCCUCCCAGCUUCUCUGAGGAUGCACCUGCUUCAAGGAUCUGGAGUGCAGUCUGGAUGGUGUCACAACCACUUGAUCUUCCUUAAGGAAUGCCCAAGUCUUUGGUGAGAAGACACUUCUGGAUGAGUCUGGGGCUUUGCCAGAGAGUAUUAACUAAUGAGAAAAGGCCAAGAUGGAUGUGGAUGAUGUCAUCCCAGCCUGUGAGCCGGGAUCCAGGAGUGAGUAAGAGGGAGAAGGCGAGCAGCCUUGGUUGGCACUCUUCUCCUGUGUCAUGGUCUGAUGAGAUCUGAGCAACCUUGAGCUCCCACCACCACAGACCCACCCAGAGCCGUGUGAGCGACAGUGCCACCCACACCACAGGGCAGCACCUCCACGUCUCUCCUGUUGUGAUGGAUCGAAGAUCCCCGAACCCUGAGCCCCGGAGAACUGUGCUGUGGCUGCUUCUGAAGCCAUUCUACCACAGGGAGAGAAGAGGCUAACACCGUAGGAAAGGGAGGCUCGCUGACUUCAGGGUGUGAGCAUGAUGGCCGGGCCUGGGUUUUGUGAGCAUCCCAUGCUGGGCCUUGGACGUAGGCAGGGACGUUGAGUUAAUGCUGUCUGGUCUUGGGACUACACAGCUUGUGUGCAUCCAAAUGGUUCCGUGGGUACAGGCACUGCUCUGCAUGGUAAAGUGGCUGAGACGGAAGUGGAGUUUGAUAAGCAAGAGCUUGCCAGAGGGGAUCCUGAGCUAUUUUCACCAUCAACCCAAUGGAGGUGUUAAUCCUCUAUCUCGAUAACGGUCUGUGGCACUGAACUCUCCUGCAGUCGAACCACUGUCAGGCGGGCCCCCCUGCUGAGGAAUGUCAGAAUCAGGCAGGAGGGAUAGACAGUCCAGGUUCCUCACCAGGUAGGCAUAGGGGGGACCAUGAGAGCUCUGAGUAUUUUAUUCCCCAACCCUGCUGCUAUCAUACAAUAGGAUAAUGGCAAGAAAUCAAUGUUGGUCCUGAUCAUAGGGUGGGAUUUCACGACUCUGACUGUUUAAGGCAAAGUCAAACAAGCAAGAACAAAAAACAAAAAACAAAAACCCAACCAAACAAACAAACAAAAAAAAAAAAAAAAACCAAACCAACACAACAAUCCCGUGACCUAAAGAUAGAGUUGGGCUGGCAGAUAAGUAUCAUCAGUGCAUUGUUUUCUUUAAAAAUAAAAACUCCAUGAGUUCAAGGCCAGUCUGCUCUACAUAUUGAGUUCCAGGACAGCCAGAGCUACAUAGAAAGACCCUGUGUCAAAAAAUAAAAAUAAAAAAAUAAAAGCUUGGGGCUGGAGAGAUGGCUCAGGAGGUGAAGGCUAAUUGCUAACAAGCCUGAAGAUUUGAGUUCAAUCCUCAGAAGCAACAUGGUGGGGAGAGAGAGAGAGAGACCUGACUCCCAUGAGUUGUCUUCCAAUCUCCACGAGUGCCUGGUGUACACAUGCACACAUGUGUGUACAUGCACAUAAAUAAAAAUACAUGAAAUUUUAAACAAGAUGGUGCCGUUGCUAAGGCCACCACGAGGUUGUGUUAUUCUUACACCAUCUUCCUUCCCUGUGUUUCUUACUUCGUCAGUAUCGUUAUGAGUCUGACAUCACAGCGGCUUUGUGUGAAACACAAAGCAACUAGGGGGCACAGUCCUUGUGAAGAUGAACUUCCAGAAGUAAAUUCAAGUCAAACAGAUACAUGUGUGCCAUGUCUUGACAACUGGUUUCUAAUGUAUUGAUCUUCGCUUCCCCUCAUGAUAUAUUAGCAUAAGAAUUUUGUCUAAAAACCAUUUUAUUCUUUGUUCUUUUUUAUUUAGGAGGUAGAACGCCAUAUCUUUGUUUCACUUUUACUUCUUUGGUUAUUGUUAUGAUUUUGAUAUAAAAUGUCCCCUCCGAAGAUUUAAGAGUUGGGGGCUUCUCCUCUACCUGGUAGAAGCACCUGGAAGCCAUAGGAGGCAGAGUCCCAACUGGAGGAAGUGGGCCCAUGGGGAACCCAUCCUUCCUUUGGGGCUCUGUCCUGUUCUUGCAG